rnacentral:lncRNA from 1 species
GACGAGUCCAAACCAUGAUUUUGAGUGAAACUCUCUCUGACAUGGUAAGUUACACGUUGUUUAAAGACUAUUAUUGCCUUAGUUUAUGAUAAAACUGGUUUUAAAAACUGUUGAAGCUGUUGGCUGAUGAUGCAUUCCUUCCAGAGAUGAAAUUUACCCCCAGAGUGAAUUGCAAUAAAGACACAGUACCAGCCAUUUGAUGUAUCGCUAGUGAACUUGCAGUAAGCUGGAUGUCACUUGAAACCUCUUCCAUGGGAACCACAUGAGCUAUCGAUUGUUUACCUCUGCCAUACCUCUAACAGUUAGAUAUUUCCUUGAUUGCCCAAAGAGGAAGAUGUGGAGAUAAAUUGUCUGUUUACUGAGAUAUAUAAAACUAAUAUUCUCUCUUUCCUUGUCCUUGCUUCUUCCAUCCAGCUAUAUGUUCCUGUGAGGUCUCCCCAGCUAACUCACCAAUAAUUCCAUGUAUGGAAGGAAGACAGAUAAGGGUAACUGGAUUUGGUGAAAACAAGGUUCAGCAGCAGGUUGUUAUCAGCUGCUGUGGGAAUGCGCCACAAAUGUCGUCGUUACAAUUUCUCCUUGCCCAGAUUGGAAGUCCUCAGUGGUAGUCCAGAAACUCUGGGGAAUUGGUCAUCUUU